UUGAACGCUGGCGGCAGGCCUAACACAUGCAAGUCGAGCGGUAGCACAGAGAGCUUGCUCUCGGGUGACGAGCGGCGGACGGGUGAGUAAUGUCUGGGAAACUGCCUGAUGGAGGGGGAUAACUACUGGAAACGGUAGCUAAUACCGCAUAAUGUCGCAAGACCAAAGUGGGGGACCUUCGGGCCUCAUGCCAUCAGAUGUGCCCAGAUGGGAUUAGCUAGUAGGUGGGGUAACGGCUCACCUAGGCGACGAUCCCUAGCUGGUCUGAGAGGAUGACCAGCCACACUGGAACUGAGACACGGUCCAGACUCCUACGGGAGGCAGCAGUGGGGAAUAUUGCACAAUGGGCGCAAGCCUGAUGCAGCCAUGCCGCGUGUGUGAAGAAGGCCUUCGGGUUGUAAAGCACUUUCAGCGGGGAGGAAGGCGUUAAGGUUAAUAACCUUGGCGAUUGACGUUACCCGCAGAAGAAGCACCGGCUAACUCCGUGCCAGCAGCCGCGGUAAUACGGAGGGUGCAAGCGUUAAUCGGAAUUACUGGGCGUAAAGCGCACGCAGGCGGUCUGUCAAGUCGGAUGUGAAAUCCCCGGGCUCAACCUGGGAACUGCAUUCGAAACUGGCAGGCUAGAGUCUUGUAGAGGGGGGUAGAAUUCCAGGUGUAGCGGUGAAAUGCGUAGAGAUCUGGAGGAAUACCGGUGGCGAAGGCGGCCCCCUGGACAAAGACUGACGCUCAGGUGCGAAAGCGUGGGGAGCAAACAGGAUUAGAUACCCUGGUAGUCCACGCCGUAAACGAUGUCGAUUUGGAGGUUGUGCCCUUGAGGCGUGGCUUCCGGAGCUAACGCGUUAAAUCGACCGCCUGGGGAGUACGGCCGCAAGGUUAAAACUCAAAUGAAUUGACGGGGGCCCGCACAAGCGGUGGAGCAUGUGGUUUAAUUCGAUGCAACGCGAAGAACCUUACCUGGUCUUGACAUCCACAGAACUUUCCAGAGAUGGAUUGGUGCCUUCGGGAACUGUGAGACAGGUGCUGCAUGGCUGUCGUCAGCUCGUGUUGUGAAAUGUUGGGUUAAGUCCCGCAACGAGCGCAACCCUUAUCCUUUGUUGCCAGCGGUCCGGCCGGGAACUCAAAGGAGACUGCCAGUGAUAAACUGGAGGAAGGUGAGGAUGACGUCAAGUCAUCAUGGCCCUUACGACCAGGGCUACACACGUGCUACAAUGGCAUAUACAAAGAGAAGCGACCUCGCGAGAGCAAGCGGACCUCAUAAAGUAUGUCGUAGUCCGGAUUGGAGUCUGCAACUCGACUCCAUGAAGUCGGAAUCGCUAGUAAUCGUAGAUCAGAAUGCUACGGUGAAUACGUUCCCGGGCCUUGUACACACCGCCCGUCACACCAUGGGAGUGGGUUGCAAAAGAAGUAGGUAGCUUAACCUUCGGGAGGGCGCUUACCACUUUGUGAUUCAUGACUGGGGUG
rnacentral:rRNA from 1 species